AANGGCACCAAGUUCGCGNGGACAAGCAAANCCCUAAACCGUGGCUCAGUUCAGAUCGUAGGCUGCAACUCGCCUACGUGAAGGAGGAAUCGCUAGUAAUCCGCAGGUCAGCAUACUGCGGUGAAUACGUUCCCGGGCCUUGUACACACCGCCCGUCACACCAUGGAAUUGGCCACGCCCGAAGCCGUUACUCCAACCCUUGUGGAGGAGGACGUCGAAGGUGGGGCUGAUGACUGGGGUGAAGUCGUAACAAGGUAUCCGUACCGGAAGGUGCGGAUGGAUCACCUCCUAACAGGGAGACAACACAAUGAUUUUGAUGCCUGAGUAUUUUAUUCUUAGGCCGAAAUCCUGUCACCUUAGGUCGAUCGGUACCUCAGAUUUGAAAUCAAGAUGAUGCAGCAAUGUGUUGUGCUUGAUGGAGAUUUUCAGUUCCUAAACUUUGUCUAGGUCACACCCCAAAAGGGAUGAGACUCCUGGGCCAUUAGCUCAGGUGGUUAGAGCGCACCCCUGAUAAGGGUGAGGUCCCUGGUUCAAGUCCAGGAUGGCCCAUUCGGUGUUGGGGGUUUAGCUCAGUUGGUAGAGCGCCUGCUUUGCAAGCAGGAUGUCAGGAGUUCGAGUCUCCUAACCUCCACUGACCGAACUUUAUCCCCAUCUYCCACGUUAUGRGAGUUGARCUCGAUUGGAAGUGUGAUUUAAAUGUGUCCGCUGGAUGACCCCAAGCUUCCUGUCAUUCCAAGUUUUUAAGUAAAAAGCUUUGAUUUGGUUGAUAAGAUGCUGGGCUCGGAUCAAAUUAUCAAGCAAUUGAUGAUUUGAUUUGAAGUUCUAGCAGAACCUUGACAACUGCAUAGGUGAAGUCUGGAAAAACAAAGCAUCUUACAGAUGCAUUGUUUUGAGUCUGAUCUUCUGAAAGGAAGAUUAGAACCAGAACAAUGAAAAUUCUUUUGAGCAAGAGCCGAGACUCUUGAAUGUUCUUUGAUUCGUGUCGAGCGAAUCAGAGUUUGAUCUUGUUUUUAGCGAUAAAAACUUGAGAAUCUGCUUUCAACGGCGGUAAGCGUUCAAGAGGUUAAUUGGUCAAGCUACAAAGGGCUCACGGCGGAUACCUUGGCACACAGAGGCGAUGAAGGACGUGGUUACCUGCGAUAAGUCUCGGGGAGCUGGAAGCACGCUUUGAUCCGGGAAUUUCCGAAUGGGGCAACCCUUAAUACGGCCAGCUGAAUCCAUAGGCUGGCACGAGCCAACCCAGCGAACUGAAACAUCUNG
rnacentral:misc_RNA from 1 species